rnacentral:tRNA from 1 species
GGUUCCGUAGCUCAGUUGGCUACAGCAUAGCUUUUAUGAGCUGCAGCUCGCAGGUUCGAGCCUCGUCGGAACCA